rnacentral:rRNA from 1 species
AUGGCGAUGAUAGUCGUCAUGGAUGCAGCAGCAGGGAGUUCCUCCGUCCCACCUUCUCCCACGCUUCAUGAUCAACACGAUGAGGGGCUCGCGCUCGCUAUUCUUGCCGACCAACAGCCUAUGGCGGUCGACGAAUGCGAUGAUCCAGAGAUCGAGGUCGACUAUGUACCUCUAAGAGAAGAGGGGCUCGCGCUUACUACUAUUGCUGGCCAACAGCCUAUGGCGGUUGAUGAAUGCGAUGAUCCGGAGAGCGAGGUCCACUUUGUCCCUCUUAGAGUCGUGAGGCCGGAGGAUGAGCAGCAAAAGCGUCCCGGCGGGCGGGUUAAAGUAUGUGCACAUAAACCUAAAAUGCAGAAAAAGAGGAGAAAUAGGCCUGCACGCACCAAGUCUGCUAAGAGUAAUAUGUGGCGUAAACCGGAGUUUGUUUACUGUGACAACAUCAACAUUAAUACGUGGCCGGCAGAUUCCAUACCCGACGACGGUGACAAGGAUGAUAAUUUUGCGCCAACGGGGAAGAGAGGGAGGCCGGCACGCGCCAAGUCUGCAAAGACAAAGACGUGUCGAAAACCAGGGUUUGUUUACAGCGACAACUACAGCAUUAGCAGCAGUGAGAGCGAGAGCGAGAGCGAGGGAAACAACAAUGAUGAUUAUGAUCCGACGGCACCUGAUGCUGAUGGCCACCCAAAGAAAUGUGCAAGAUCUCGAGGGAGGCCGGCACGCGCCAAGUCUGCUAAGAGCAAGAUGUGGCGUAACCCGGAGUUUGUUUGCGGCGACAACAUCAACAUUAGUACCAGUAGUGAGACCGAGAUUGAAAGAAACAAUGAUGGCGCAGACCGCCAUCAUCGCCGAGGGUGUCAGGGCCUCCUCUCCCUCUUCUCGUGA